CAGGAGCACACAAGAUUAAAUUAAUAACUAAAAAUAAAAAGGGAUAGUAGCAGUUUAGCGAAAUAGCGUUACUCUUUAUUACAAAUUUACCCUUACAACCCAAUUUGCAGCAAGACAAAGGGUUUAGCUUUCUAUUCAAUCUUCAAUAUUUUACCUAAAACCCUAAAAAUCGAUCAUGGAUGAAGGUGGUGCAAAACCGGUGUGCGCUCAAGAAGCCCUUAAUCUGCUGAAUUGCGUAACUCAAUCUCCAUACGAACAAGACAAAUGCCUCACCCUUUUGAAUUCGUUGCGCGACUGCGUGCUUGCCAAGAAGGUGAAGAAGUUUACCCUAGCUGGACAGGAACAACAGGAAACUAAUCCGAGUAGCAAGAAGGCUUAAUUAUGCAUUGAAGCUGUAUACUUUCACAUAUCCAUCAACAAACAACUGAUUUUAAUAAUUAUUUUGGUUUCAAGUGUUCAGUUGAAUGGAAGGUGAAAUCAAUGGCAUGCACCUUUCAUCACUGGAUAUUAUGCUGUUGCUAGAUUGCUUUCUUCCUCACCUUAAUCAUAAUUGCUGGCCUUUGAUUAAAGCAAAAGAUUUCCAGUUUACCUCGUUCUGUUUAAAAACAUUCAGAACCUUUUCGUAAGGAGGAAUGGAAUUAUGAUUUGUUACAAUACAAUACAUGUGUUUCUUAAUUAAAACAUUGAAUAUAAUUUUUAGCAUUCUAAUGGA